rnacentral:rRNA from 1 species
UACAGAGGUCUCAAGCGUUGUUCGGAUUCAUUGGGCGUAAAGGGUGCGUAGGCGGCGCGGUAAGUCGGGUGUGAAAUCUCGGAGCUUAACUCCGAAACUGCAUUCGAUACUGCCGUGCUUGAGGACUGGAGAGGAGACUGGAAUUUACGGUGUAGCGGUGAAAUGCGUAGAUAUCGUUUGGAACGCCAAUGGUGAAAACAGCUCGCUGGGGGUGUGCUGACGCUGAGACACGAAAGCCAGGGGAGCGAACGGG